ACACAACUGUUUAUCUCCUACGCUGAAUAUAAUCUUCACAUACUGCAUCAGCAAGCAAACACCCACCCCACACUCUUCAGAACCCGCCCACAGCCACAACAUAUCAGUCCAUCUGUGCAAAGAAUGUUUUCUGCUACAGACUGCCCUGUGAUUAAAUUGAGAAAAUAAAAUCUCCAUACUGACCCACUACCCUGACUGCUGCACUUUAUACCUUUUCCACCUUUUGGGAUGGCCUGAUGUGUAUGUGAUCCUCUGUACCCAGUGAGAUCUUUUCUCCAGAGUCAGCAGGGAGCAGAAAGACCAACAGUGCCAGACCAGAGAUGAGCACACAGGGGAUGAGC